rnacentral:rRNA from 1 species
GGGGUAGUAUAGUCGCAAGGCUGAAACUUAAAGGAAUUGACGGAAGGGCACCACCAGGAGUGGAGCCUGCGGCUUAAUUUGACUCAACACGUGGAAACUUACCAGGUCCUGAGAGCUCUUUCUUGAUUCUAUGGGUGGUGGAGUGAUUUGUCUGGUUAAUUCCAUUAACGAACGAGACCUCAGCCUGCUAACUAGCUACGUGGAGGCAUCCCUUCAUGGCCGGCUUCUUAGAGGGACUAUGGCCGUUUCGGCCAAGGAAGUUUGAGGCAAUAACAGGUAUGUGAUACCCUUAGAUGUUAUGGGCCGCACGCGCGCAACACUGAUGUAUUGUAUUCAACGAGUUCACACCUUGGCCGACAGGCCCGGGUAUUCUUUUAAAUUUCAUCGUGAUGGGGAUAGAUCAUUGCAAUUGUUGGUCUUCAACGAGGAAUUCCUAGUAAGCGCGAGUCAUCAGCUCGCGUUGACUACGUCCCUGCCCUUUGUACACACCGCCCGUCGCUCCUACCGAUUGAAUGAUCCGGUGAAGUGUUCAGAUCGCGGUGACGUGGGUGUUUCACCGUCUGCGACGUCGCGAGAUGUCCACCAAACCUUAUCAUUUAGAGGAAGGAGAAGUCGUAACAAAGUUUCCGUAGGUGAACCUGCAGAAG